UACGUAGGGGGCAAGCGUUGUCCGGAAUCAUUGGGCGUAAAGAGCGUGUAGGCGGCUUUACAGGUCCGUUGUGAAAACUCGAGGCUCAACCUCGAGACGCCGGUGGAAACCGUAAGGCUAGAGUCCGGAAGAGGAGAGUGGAAUUCCUGGUGUAGCGGUGAAAUGCGCAGAUAUCAGGAAGAACACCCGUGGCGAAGGCGGCUCUCUGGGACGGUACUGACGCUGAGACGCGAAAGCGUGGGGAGCGAACAGG
rnacentral:rRNA from 1 species